rnacentral:piRNA from 1 species
UCAUUAGUAGGUCCUAGAAGAGGCUAAUG